rnacentral:lncRNA from 1 species
AGGUCCCAGUGUCUGAACUAGUUGGAAAGAACAUUCUUCUUUACUUCUCAGCUCAAUGGUGCCCUCCAUGUCGUGCCUUUUUACCCAAGCUAAUUGAAGCAUACCACACAAUUAAAAGAAAAGACAAUGCAUUUGAGGUGAUCUUCAUCUCAAGUGACAGAGAUCAAUCCACCUUUGACGAGUUCUAUUCAGAAAUGCCUUGGUUAGCCCUUCCAUUUGGUGAUGGAAGGAAACAAAUCCUGAGUCGGAAAUUCAAAAUUCAAGGCAUUCCUGCAGCUGUAGCGAUUGGCCCAAGUGGCCGGACCAUUACCAAGGAAGCUCGGAUGCACCUGACAGCUUACGGGGCAGAUGCUUUUCCAUUUACCGAGGAACAUCUAAAGCGAUUGGAGGAGGAGCUUGAGGAAAAGGCAAAGGGGUGGCCAGAGAAAGUGAAACACGAACUUCAUACUGAGCAUGAGCUGAUACGUACUAAACGCAGUGCAUAUGGUUGCGAUGGCUGUGGGGAAACGGGAUAUCGGUGGUCUUUCUAUUGCAAUCAAUGUGACUUUGAUCUUCACCCCAAGUGUGCUCUGAAGGAAGAUGAAGAUGCUGGAACUGAAAAGGGAAAGGAAGGAUGGGUCUGCGAUGGAGAUGUGUGCCGCAGAGCUUAAGCAGGCAAGCGCUGCUUGUGUCUGGUUUUAUGGGCUUUCUGCUGUAUUAAGUAUGCAAUGGAAGAUGUUUGUUGCAUGUGUGUGAAUAUAGUGGGGAUGUCUCUCCUGUUAUCGUUAUGUAUCUAAGAUGUGUGAAGCUGAAGGGUUUUCAUGUCCUGUAUUUGGAUACUAAAAAUAAAUAAACAGCUCUGUGUGUUUAUGCGAAUCCUGUGACCCAUUUGGAACUUGGGAAAAUCCAUGGUUGAUGGUUGUUCUCAAAGCUCAAUCACUUGUUAUGAGGUUUUUGUCAUUCCUAAACGAAAAUGCUGUGCAUGAUGCCAUUGUGCCGCUCUCUUUGUUUCUAUUUGGCUGGGUGAAGAAACAGCCUCACCUCUGGAGCAAAUAUUCCUGUUAUUGUAUUGCUGAUUAAAUACAAAAACUGGGCUGAUUGUGACUUAACCAACAUUAUACAAUGAAACCAUUGUAACUCCACCGUAAAAGAAACAAGAAUUUCCAAUCCAAGCAACUGGAUAGUCAUUUCCCCCCCUCGUUGCCUUCUCACAUUACUUGUUGAGACGGAUUUCAGAAUCAAGAAAGCAGCAUUAAUUCGAACUCAGAACUAAGAAAGACAAAUGAAAUCCCAGCAGGUGGAAACUGGGUUCAUGGCAGUUAUUUGGAGGGUGGACACCUGCGUUUGUUGAUGAACAUGUCUGCAAUCAAUGAAAACCAGAACCACGGGCAGGCUAUUGCCUGUAUCAGUUCAUGGGACGCAAAGGACAGAUAGGAUUAGUGGUGAGCUUGGAGAAGUUAGCAAAGCCAACAACUACACCUCGCAGAACAGGAAAAGAUUUCCGUAAAUUUAAUGCUUUUCUACAAGAAUGUUUGGUUGCCUAUUUUUAAAAAAAAAAAAUUAUAUAAAUAACUUCUGGGUUGGCAUAGACACCUCAGGUUUUGGCACAGCUGCAAAAAACAAGUUGGAACUCUUACAUCCCUAUUGGUAGGUGAUGGAUUAUAAAUAAGGUUUAGUUUUGGUACUUUGACAUCCCUCGUGGACAAAACGAUUCUGAAUGGUUGAUAAUUUGGAAUGAAAGAUUUUCAGUACAAUUAUCAACACUCAACAAACUAGUAAUACCCUAUUAAUUCAUAACUAACUUGGAAAAAAAAAUUAAAUAUAAAAUUAUUGGAUCAAUCUGUAUAUUUUUUAUAUUAAAACAAUAACGUUUUAUUUUAUUUUUAUUUAAUCUUUACAGGAUAAUCACUCAGUUGAUUUAACCAUGUUAUUAAAAGAAUUUAAUUAAUAUAUUAUUUGAUUUAAUUAAAAUCUCAAAAAUUAUUAUACUUGAUAUCUUAAGUUUUUGAGACCAAUGAUUUCUACAUAGUGGUACAAUUAGCAUACUCUGCUCAUUGCAUUACAACAACAUUUUAAAAAUAAAAUGUUAAAAUUAAGAAUAAUUAAUUUUGAAAUUUUAUGUGAACAAUAAUUGUGUGGGGGUGUCAAUAGCAUCAUAUUUGUUUCCUGAAGUAAAUUAUAAUUGAAUCCUCAUAUUUUCCAUAAACCAAUAUGUUAGCCCUUCUGUUUUUUAAAAAACUAAAAGGCUACUCAAUUGAGAAGCUUCGACCGUCAAGCCGUUAUUAGAUAUUCUUUUAUACUAAUACCUAAAGUAACGGUUUAGCACUUUUAUAAUGUAAAACUAAAGGAAGAACUAAGGAGGUAAAAUAUGGCUUCUUUUAAAUAAAGGGAGUGAGCUAUUAAUUUCUUAAAACUAUAGGGACUACGUUAUAAUUUGAUCAAUUUGUUAUGAUGAAUUUAAAGUGCCACACGUGAUUUUUUUUUUUAAUUAAUGUGGGUGUCCGGACCAGCUUGCGCACACCUUAACUAAUCCAACGGGUCCUGAAAUUAACGACCAUGUAAGCCUACAGUUAUCAUCAUAUGAGCAACUACAGGGCUCCUGAGAUCACAAAGGGAAUAAACCUUUUAGUCCCAAGCUCUUAUAACUAGGACACUUUCUAGAUGGUUGUCACACGUUAUUUAAUUCUACAUGGUUUGGUUUUGUGUUUGCCAAUUAAUGAUCAUCAUGUUUCAUGAUGUGACAAAUAGAUUAAAAAUAUGAUGAAUGGAGCCAAACAUUAUUGGUUUUAAAUUUAAAAUUUUUUUAGUGUGUUUGAAUUUUUUUAAUAUAUUAAAUUUAAAAAUAAAUUUUUAAAAAUUAAUAUAUAUAUUUGAGUAAAAAUUAUUUUAAAACUCAACCUCUAUUAUAUUUUUAAACAUACCCUAUCAUUAGUAGUUGAGUCUUACCCUUAAUGUUUUCCAUGGAAUCUAUUAUUAUAGUCUUACAGCGUAUGUGCAAAGAUAAGGAAUAUCAUGAUAGGCAGUAAAAAAAAAAAAAAAAAAACUCUUACUAAUAUUAUAAAAACUAUGUUAUAAUUUUAUCUGAAAAUAAAAUAAAAAUUAAAUGAUAUCUAAUAAAAUAAUAUCUCAUAUAUAUUCUUAAUAACUUAAGUAUCUACUAAAAUAACAGCCUUGAUGUGUUUUUAAAUAAUUAAUUUUAACGAAAUAAAACUAAAACUCAAGGAUAAAAAUUCAAAAAUAAAAAUUCAAAUAAAAUAAAAACAAGCCAUGUUUGUGGGGCCAGGUGACUCCGCAUGCUUAUCCAAAAUGAAAGAGCCAUUUUAUUUUUUCUUUGAUAAAUGACAUAUCAUUUAUCCUUUUGAUUUUUAAAGUAAAACAAAUGACACAUGAUUGGUUACUCAAUUUUUUUUUGUCAUGGAGAAGUGGUUGAAGAAUUGGGUUAGAGUUUUUUUUUUUAUCUAAAAUUAUAUAUUUUUUAAUUUGUUUUUAUCUAUUGUCUCUAAACUAGUCCAUCAUCUAAAAAAAAAACCCUAAAAUAAUUUUAAAAUACAAAGUUUAACCUAAAAGCAAUUCUCUCAACCUCGAUUUAUCUUUUUUUGGCAAUAUAAAGCUAAAAACACAUUAUGGUAGCAUUCUUCUUGUCAAGAAGAAUACAUUGACACACAUUUUAGCUAUUUUUGCAAACAAAACCUUGUCAAUGUAUGUAUUUCUUCUCCUUUGUUAUUUUCAAUGAAUGUUUUUUUUUUUCUAAAACUCAAAACUAAAAUGUGAUUAAAAUAAAGUUUUAGAUCAAAACAUAAAUUUUUAAAGUAAAAUAGCGUGAAAUGAACAUUUCUCAAAUAAAAAAACCAUAAAUUCUUGCUACUUGUUAAUUUUGGCUCCCCAAGUCCUUAAUUUUUAUAUACAAUAAAAUAGGAUUCUAUUUUGUAAAAUCAAACAUAACUCUAAUGUAAAGACAUUUAAUUUUCCAAAAAAAAAAUUAUAGAAAACCAACCAAUAAGUCAAAUCCUCCAUUAAUAAAAUGUCAAAAAUUGAAAAAAUUUAAAAAGUGUUUGGUGACUAUAAUGAAAAAAAUUUCGAAGAAAAAACUAGAACACUAUUUUAAUCUGUGAUGUUUUGAGUUUUUGUCCACAGUGCAACAACACUAAACUAACCACAUCUCUUAGUUUUAUAUUUAAUUUAUUUUUAGAUUUUUAUGAUUCAUAAAUGAGGGAUUAUUUUAUUUUGUUAGCUUAGGUUUUAUUUUUAUAAAAUUAAUUAAAAAAUAGAUUAGGAUAUCUAGUGGAUAACCACAAAUGAAGAAAGUCAUCUACUUAACCGGAUUUAGAGCUCGUUUGUUUCUGAGACAACAUUUACAUUUCUUUUAAACACACUAAUAAUGGUGUUUGAUUACCGAUUGAAAGUAAUACAUAAAUUAUAGACCCCAUCAUUUAUAUGAGGCAGCACCUUAAUUAUAAAAAAUAUUUUUUUUUAUUGAACUUUCUUACAUGAUAGAGUAUUGCAUUUAAAAACUCUUUCUUUCUCCCCUCAAAAUAUAGGGUCUCUUUAUUGAAAUAGAGUCAUGAUGUGGCUCAAAUACACAAUAUAAAUUUAUUUAUAAUUAUUAAAUAUAUGCAAUAUCAUUAUUUUUAAAAUAAAAAAGAAAUCCAGAGUUUUAUUAUUGAAAAACUCCAUUCUUGAAAAUAUAACUAAAAAUUCUAUCAAAGUUUAGAUUUUAACUUGUCUAUUAAAUUGUAUGUAAUUAUUAUCAAGUCAUAUUUUAUAGAAAAUAAACUAGGCUAAAAAUCUAAUCCAAAAUUCUCUCGAUGUCUUUGAGAAUUUAAUUAGCAUAUGAAUUUUAUUGAGGUCUGUGUUAAAUGUUUUUUUUUUUUUCUGAGACUUAAGGAGCUUUGGAUGACUGGAGCUGGAGGUACAUUUUCAUGAUUUAUUUUUCUCAAUAAUUUUUUUUUACAGUCUUGGCCUUCAUCCUUUCCUAAGCUUCCUAUGUAAGAUGCCACGUAUAUAGUUUCUUUGCUCGUUCAUUUCAACUAUGCUUUACAUAUGAUGAUUGAUUUAUAUUAGAAAAAAAAAAUGAUAGAAAAAUUCAUUUCCAAAUGCAGCAAAACCAAAAGAGAAUAAUUUUCUAAUUAAAAAAACUAAUUAAGGAUUUUUUGUAUCAAGAAAUAUAAAGAUUUUAUUAAAGAGAUAAAAAUAAAAAAUAUAUUUAAUAACAAACUCACAAAAAAAUUAUCAAACCAUGGAUAAAACUAAAAAAAAAGGAGAUUAAUAAAAAAAACAUGUUUAAAAAAGAAGAAGCAAGAGGAGAUUUAUAGAAGCAGGUGAUCAUGCGAAUGCCACUUCAUCGGGCCUACGUCAUAAUGUCUUCGUCAUCACCCGUCACCAGCCACGCCUUGAAGCGUCGUUGUCUGAUUAGAAUAAUAAUUUCCUAGGUCGGUCGUGCAGGUAAUUUAAAGGAGCCUUAGCCUGGAAGUUCUAUCACAUAGCAACUGGGAUUGGCAAUUGUUCUAGCCUUUUGAGUAGUUCAUCACAUAGCUAGCUAUGGCCACCGAAGACGUUUCUCUCGACCUUUCAACGCUUCUUUCUUCAGCAGAGAGGGACUUUCUCAUCCGCAACAAUGGUGAUCAGGUACUGCUUCUCUGAUCUUAUUCAAGUCUUCUUCCUGUCUUAUUAUAAGUUGACGUCUUUUAAUUUUUAUAUGAACUUGUAGGUUUUUCUCGUAAUUAAGAUGAAUAUCAUGUUUAAAUUAGACUGGUAGCCUUGCUUAAGAACAAAUUUAUGACCAAUUUCUGAAGCUUUUUAUGAUUAAGAAAAAGCUCCCUUUUUUUUGUUGCUUCUCUCACUGGCAAGAGAAAGAAACCAUGAAUAAAAUUUUGAUUCGUUAAGGGCAGAUGUUUUUUUCUGAUAAUGUUCGAGAUUAAUUUUUAGGUUAAGGUCAGCAAUUUGGUUGGGAAGAUUGUGGGGUUCUACUUCUCUGGUUCGUGGUGCGGCCCAUGCCGUAAUUUCACUCCUUUGUUGGUAGAAGUCUAUGAACAGCUAUCAUCCAAAGGGGACUUUGAGGUGGUCUUCAUUUCUUCUGACAGAGAUGAUGAAUCCUUCAACACAUAUUUCUCCGAAAUGCCAUGGCUUGCUAUUCCCUUCUCUGAUACGGAGACCCGCAAACGUCUUAAGGAAGUGUUCAAAGUAAGAGGGAUCCCUAAUCUUGUCAUAAUUGGCCAAGAUGGGAAGACUUUGAACCCAGAUGUAGUUGAACUCAUCGAAGACCAUGGAAUUGAAGCCUACCAUUUACACCGGAAAAGCUUGAUGAGCUAGCUGCAAUUGAAAAGGCAAAACUGGAAUCGCAGACGCUUGAGUCAGUUUUGGUUAAUGGGGAAAAUGAUUUGUGAUUGACAAAAGUGGAUCCAAGGUAAUUUUUUUUCUGCUAACAUCGCAUGUUGUUAUUGCAUUACUUUCAAUAACUUGCUUAUUAUCUCGAAUUGAAUUCAUUAGCAAAGGAUUUUUAUCAUUCAAAUGGUUUACUCUUGAUUAGGUCCAGUGUCUGAUCUAGUUGGAAAGAACAUUCUUCUUUACUUCAGCUCAAUGGUGCCCUCCAUGUCGUGCCUUUUUACCCAAGCUAAUUGAAGCAUACCACACAAUUAAAAGAAAAGACAAUGCAUUUGAGGUGAUCUUCAUCUCAAGUGACAGAGAUCAAUCCACCUUUGACGAGUUCUAUUCAGAAAUGCCUUGGUUAGCCCUUCCAUUUGGUGAUGGAAGGAAACAAAUCCUGAGUCGGAAAUUCAAAAUUCAAGGCAUUCCUGCAGCUGUAGCGAUUGGCCCAAGUGCCGGACCAUUACCAAGGAAGCUCGGAUGCACCUGACAGCUUACGGGGCAGAUGCUUUUCCAUUUACCGAGGAACAUCUAAAGCAAUUGGAGGAGGAGCUUGAGGAAAAGGCAAAGGGGUGGCCAGAGAAAGUGAAACACGAACUUCAUUCUGAGCAUGAGCUGUUACGUACUAAACGCAAAACAUAUAUUUGCGAUGGCUGUGGGGAAACAGGAAAUAGUUGGUCUUUCCAUUGCAAAGAAUGUGACUUUGAUUUCACCCCAAGUGUGCUUUGAAGGAAGAUGAAGAUACUGGAAGUGAAAAGGGAAAUGAAGGAUGGAACUGCGAUGGAGAUGUGUGCCGCCGAGCCUAAGCAGGCAAGCGCUCCUUGUAUCUGGUUUUAUGGGCUUUCUGCUGUAAUAAGCGUGCGAUGUAAGGUGUUUGUUGCAUGUGUGUGAAGAUGUGGAUGUCUUUCCUGUUAUUGAUAUGUAAUUAAGAGGUGUGUUGCUUAAGGAUUUUCAUGUCCUGUAUCUCGAUACGAAGAAUAAAUAACCUGAUUGGCUAAGUUUAUGUGAAUCCUGUGACCCUUUUGAAACUUGGGAAUCCAUGGUUGCUGGUUGUUCUCAAAUCUCCAUCACUAGUUAUGAGGUUUCGUCAUUCCUAAAUGAAAAUGUUAUGCAUGAUGCCAUUGUGCCGCUCUCUGUGUUUCUAUUUGGCUGAUGAAGAAACAACUUUACCUCUGGAGCAAAUAUUUCGAUACCAAACUGGUUUUGUUUAAACUCUCAACCCAAUUCAAUUAUGAAAGGUUUUUUUUUUUUUGUCUGAGAAUCCCUAAUUUGCUUCCUCUCUCCUGUAGCCACAACCACCCUCUCUUUUCUCUGAAAGAUAUCGAAACUUAGCGGUGAUCUCUUCGCUCUCAAAAUUUCUCGCAACUUUCUCACCUCCCUCUUUGUUGUUGGUCUCUUUUUUAUUUUUGUCUCCUCUCCAUCUCUAGUGUAAUGUAGCCUCUCUUCUCUCUAUUUCUUUCUAUUUUUCUUAGCUUUAUUUAUUGUUAUAGAAUAAUAAAUUAUAACAUGUUUAUUUGUUAUUUGGCAAGGAUUCAAUGUUCACAAUAACUCAGAUGUUUGACAAAGCCGAUUUAUAUUAUUUAGCAGAUUUGAUAAGAUUUAUUGUCUCCUAUAUGUAUUAUUAACUGUGACCUAAUAAUUUACAUGUUAUGUUUCAAAGACACAGAAGUUUGAGGUGUUGGUUCUUAUUUCGUUGCAUGUCAAGCUCAAUAUAUUUCUCCUAACAUGUUUAUUUGUUACUUGGCAUGGAUCAUUUUUUAUGGCUUAUAUUGUCUUUUUUAUGUAGAUGUGAACAAGUUAUUUCAAAGGAAAAAACUAUAUUGACUCCUUAAUUGUGAAAUUGGAAAUUAGGGAGAUAAUUGUUGUGAUAAUUCAUGGGCGAUCAUGUAAGCAAAUGUUAUAGGAAGCUUGCUGAUUUGGAUUUGUAAUAAUACAUGCAUCGAAGUGCUAGAAAGGCCACAUAAUCUUUGCCCUUUCCUAGGCUUCAUGUGCAAGAUCCCGUGUAUAUAAGUUAAUUGUAAGUUCAUUUAAACUAGGCUUUACAAAUGGUGAUUCAUUUGUAUUAAGAAAAAAUGAAAUAAAAAUUCAAUUUCAUAUAUAAUCCAUCACCUAUUUAAUAGUGUGAUGUAAGAGUAAGAGUUCAUCUUGUUUAUGAUCCAUCACCUAUCAAUAGUGAUGUAAGAGUUCCAACUUGUUUUCUACAGCUGUGCCAAAACCUAGGGGGGUCUACGCCAGCCCAGCAGAGUCCUUCCCCCGUCGUAGGUGGUCCAUACGACCAGAGAUAGUAAGUGAUUUCAGAACAUGCCUUUUCGAAAUGUGAUCAAAAUAAAAUUUUGGAUUAAAAUAUAAAAUUUUCAAAGUAAAAUGGUGUGAAAUCAACAUUUCUCAAAUAAAAAAAAACCUUAAAUUAUUGCUAACAAUCAAUUUUGCCCCCUAAAUCUUAAAUUUUUUGUACGCAAUAAAAUACGAUUUAUUUUGUAAAAUCCAAAUAUCACCCUAAUGUAAAAACAUUUAAUUUUUCCCUCACAUAGAAGAUUAUAAAAAAACCAACCAAUAAGUCCAAAUUCUUGAUUAAUAAAAAUGUCAAAAGAUGAAUUUAAAAAAAUUAAUUAUAUUAUAAUGAAAAACAUUCAAAGAAUAGGACUAGAACAUUGUUCCAAUCCAUGAUAUUUUGAAUUUUUUGUCCAUGGUGCAACAAAACUAAACUAACCACAUCUUUUAGUUUUUUAUUUAAUUUAAUUUUAUAGUUUUAUGAUUCAUGAAGGAGGAAUUAAUUUAUUUUUUAGAUUAGGUUUUAUUUUUAUAAAAUUAAUUAAAAAAUAAAUUAGAUAGGAUAUCUAGUUGAUACCCACGAAUAAAGAAAGUCAUAUACUUAACCUGACUUGAUUAAAAAAAUUAACGAAUUUGAACAUUCGAGAGUGGAAAUUCAUUAUCUUCCUUUACUUACAAUUAUGACAAAUUGAAAUACGUCUAGAGUGUUUGAUAAAGGAUGAUGACAUAUAUGUAUAGUGCACUUUUGAGUGUGGGAAAGUCCCGUCUCAUGACAGAGUAUUGCAUUUAAAAUCUCUUUCUUUCUUCCUUGGAAAUAUAGCAGGGGUGAUUAAAAAAAAAUUGAAAAACUAAUUAAAUUAAAAAAAUAAUUUUUUUUGAAAAAACUGAACCGAGAAAAAAUAAAUUAAUUAAUUAAAAUAUUUUUAAAAAUAUCUGGUUUGAUUUUGAUUUUUUAAGUCUAAAACCGAAAAAAUAAACUGAAAUUAAUAAAAAAACCAAACUGAAAAAACUUAAACCAAACCUAUUAAAAAUUACAAAAAAAAACCCCUAAAAAUAAUAUAGUUUUUGGUUUUUAAUAUAGAUGUUUUGAUUUUACCAAAACCAAAACCGAACGAACCAAAUCCGAUCGGAUGGGUUUUGAUUUUUAAAAAAAAAAAAAUACAGUUUGGUUAUUUUUAUAGGUAAAAACCUAACCGAACUAAAAAUAAUCACCCUUGAAAUAUACAAAAAAACAUUUUAUUGAAAUAAAGUGGCUAAAAUACACUAUAUAAUUUUAUUUAUAAUUAUUAAAUAUAUGUAACAUCAUUAUUUUUAAAAUUAAAAGGAGUUGAGAGUUUUACUAUUAAAAAACUUUAUCUUGAUAGAAGGAUAAUAAGGUCUUUAGAAAGUUUGUAUCGUAGCAUACUUAUUAAAUUAUAUGUGAUUACCAUCAUGUCAAAGUAACAUAAAGAUUUUAUUAAAGAGAUAAAAAUACAAAAUAUAUUUAAUAACAAACUCACAAAAACAAAAUAUCAAACCAUGGAUAAAACUAGAAUAAAAACAUAAAAAAAGGAGAUUAAAAAAACAUUAGAAUAUUUUAAACUGAUUAGAAUAUUUUAAAAAAUAUCCAGUUUGAUUUUGAUUUUUUAAGCUUGAAACUAAAAAAUCAAACCCAAAUUAAUAAAAAAAAUAAACCAAAAAAACCGAAACAAAACUCAUUAAAAAUUACAAAAAAAACCCUAAAAACAAUAUAGUUUUUUGUUUUUAAUAUAAAAUAAUCAAACCAAAACCGAAUCAAAUCAAACCCGAAUGGUUGGAUUUUGGUUUUUUUUUUUUGUAUUUUUCAAAAUUUCAAUUUGGUUAUUUUUAUAGGUAAAAACCAAACCAAACUAAAAAUGAUUACUCUAGAAUAUAAAUUUUUUUUUGUAUUGAAAUAGAGUGGCUAAAAUACACUAUAUAAUUUUAUUUUUAAAUAUUAAAUAUAUGUAACAUCAUUAUUUUUAAAAUUAAAAGGAGUUGAGAGUUUUACUAUUAAAAAACUUUAUCUUGAUAGAAGGAUAAUUAAUAAGGUCUCUAAUAAGUUUGGAUCUUAGCCUACUUAUUAAAUUACAUGUGAUUACCAUCGUGUCAAAGUGAAAUAAAGAUUUUAUUAAAGAGAUAAAAAUACAAAAUAUAUUUAAUAACAAAAUCACAAAAAAAUUAUCAAACCAUGGAUAAAACUAGAAUAAAAAUAAAAAUAAAAAGAGAUUAAAAUAAACACCUCUCUGCGCAAGAAAUGAUAUAUUCUGUUAAAGACAAUCCUUCCCGUAGAUUGCUUUGAAUGGGUAAAUCAAUCAUUUGUCUUUGUGGAUCCGACAUUAAUCCUCUUAUACCUACUAAUUGGUGUACUUGAGAUGUAUUUCCCUAGCUCCCGAAAAGGACAUUAUAUGGACUUGAUUAUAGGGUUUUGUCAUUCUAAAAUUCAGAUUCAUUUCUUGUCGCAAAUAUUCACUUGUAGCAUACUAUAUCUUAAUAAAUUGACGUAAUUUUUCUAUCGCGUAUACAUUUUUAUAAUGAUGGUGUUUUUUCAAAAUCAAACUUUGUUGUUCAGCAUCUUGGACUAGCCAUCCUUUUGAAGAUAUUGUUAAAAGAUCAUCAAUUCCUAAUGAAAUAGAUGUAGCAGUGGUAUGUGAAUCCUGUGACCCAUUUGAAACUUGGGAAUCCAUGGUUGAUGGUUGUUAUGAGGUUUUUGUCAUUCCUAAACGAAAACGCUAUGCAUGAUUGCAUUGUGCCGCUCUCUUUGUUUCUAUUUGGCUGGAUGAAGAAACAGCUUCACCUCUGGAACAAAUAUUCCUGUAAUUGUAAUGCUGAUUAAAUACAAAAACUGGGCUGAUUGUGACUUAACCAACAUUAUACAAUGAAACCAUUGUAACUCCACCGUUAAAGAAACAAGAAUUUCCAGUCCAAGCAACUGGAUAGUCAUUUUUACCCCUCUCUGCCUUCUCACAUUACUUGUUGAGACGGAUUUCAGAAUCAAGAAAGCAGCAUUAAUUCGAACUCAGAAGUAAGAAAGACAAAUGAAAUCCCAGCAGGUGGAAACCUGCGUUUGUUGAUGAACAUGUCUGCAAUCAAUUAAACCAGAAACACGAGCAGGCUAUUGCUUGUAUCAGUUCAUGGGACGCAAAGGACGGAUAGGAUUAGUGGUGAGCUUGGAGAAGUUAGCAAAGCCAACAACUACACCUCGCAGAACAGGAAAAGAUUUCCGUAAAUUUAAUGCUUUUCUAUUUGCUUAAUUCUCGUGACACCAUAUUAUUUGAUGCCUCAAAAGAACGAAAAUAUCAUCCGUGUGAUACAUCCAAAAUUCAAGCAAGCACACUGCCAAGAAAUUCAAUUCGGCGACGUUUCAAUCAAGCACGCUGCCAUAAAGUUUGAAGCCAUUGAAAAAACCUUUGGUUCUAUGGUCCAUUAAUUAUGUUCAGCUUAUUUACUCUUUCAUGUUCUCGCAGUUUCUUCUUUUUGCCACGUUCCAUGGCUUCCCACCACUGAAUCUCAUGUGCUUUAAAUUUGCCUUCGCCAUGACAGCCACAAAACCUUAUCGAUUGUUGCAGUCUGAAAACUGUUUGUUAUUGUGGUUACUGUUGUGGUUUUAAGAAAAUUAUUUUGUAAAAAUAUUUUUAGUUGAGGUUGGUUUAGAAAAAUAUAUAUUUGAUUAAAAAUAUGGUUAAAAUUGAGGUUGAACAAAAAGUAGUUUAAUGUGUUUGGUUAAAAAAAUGUUUUUCAAAUUGAGGUUAUAAAAUAAUUAAAAAAUAUUUUUAAUUUAAAUAUUGUAGAUUUAACUACUAUUACUACAUCAUGAAAUAAAUAAUAUUUAUAUCAAAUAUUUUUUAUUAUUCCAUUAAACUAUAUGCAAUGUCAUCACAUACAAAUCUAUCCAACAAUGACUAUAUUUUUCAUGGUUUCUUAAGCACGCAACAACAAAAAUUGGAUUUUUUGUAAUGUCAUCAAGCGAUAUCCUUCUAAUUUUUUCAAUAAAACACAAUUAAAAUAAAAAUAAAAACUGAAUUUUUUUAACUGGGUCAGACCCGGCAGGAACAUAAUUGGAAUUGCGAUUAAAUUUCACAAAUGUUAUGUCAUCAUGCGAUAUUCUUCUAAUUUAUAUAGUGUUAUUAAAUAAUAUUAAAUACUAGUUUUUCGAGUAAAACUAAAUUUUUUAAAAAAAAAAAUUACAAUUUCAUUACGUACAAAAUUCAUUCGACAAGAACUACAGUUUAAUGAUUUUGUGAGCGUGCAAUAAAAUUAGAUAAAAUAUUAUCGGGAAUAAAAUUAAGAUUACAGUAUGAGUAAAUUUAAUUCACCUUUAACUAUUUUUUUAACAAAAAAAAAUAUAUUGUUCAUCUGAAUAGUGCGAGUGAAAUUAAUUAAUUGCACUGGUUUUUCAGGGAAAAAAAAACCCAAACAUUGCAUGUGAACAGUGCAAGUGAAUUAAUUCACUCACACUGGUUUUUUGAAAUUAAAAAAAAAAUUGUUCAUUUUAGUGAACAGUGGAGCCAUGCUCCAUUGUUGAUGUUAAUUUUCAGACGAGCAGCAGCUUCUCAGAAACCUAUUCAGAUGAACAAUAUAUUUUAAAAAAAAUGGAGCAGGUGAAUUAUUUUAAUCUGCUUUUUAAUCUGCUACAGUGCAUGCAAAGCAGGUUUUCAUAGCUUUUCCUUUCCAGUGUUUUAAACGCAAAAAACACGUGGGUCCCAUGCACAGUAAAAUAAUUUUUGUUAUUACCAAACGGCUGCGGACUGCGUUUUAAAUAAAACGCAUCCGCAGCCUCUUAGACAAACACCCUUUAAGUGGGUCCUACAAAAAAAACUAUUUUUUCUUACCUUACCAAACAUUAAUAGUUGUGGUUGCGGGUGAACCUCACCCGUGGCCACAAUACCAAACAUCCACUUACUAUCUCUGGCCAUCUCGUGUAUGGACCCCUCUACGAUGAAGGAAGGGCACUGUUGGGCUCUUCCCUUACAACGGGGGAAGUCGGAAGGACACUGUUGGGCUAGUAUAAACCCUCCAGGUUUUGGCAUAGCUGCAGAAAAAAAUAAUUUAAAAAAAAUAAAAAAAAAAUAUAUUAUUUUAAUAUAUUUUAGUAUGAAAAGCAUUUUGAAAAAUAAUUGUAAUCAUAUUCCCAAACAAAUAUAAAAUUAAAGGAAAAACAAAUAUAAAACUAAAAGAAGAACUAAGUUAUAGUAAAUGGAAAUGAUGACAUGGAGGUAAAAUAUGGCUUCUUUUAAAUAAAGGGAGUGAGCUAUUGAUUUCUUAAAAAUAUAGGGACUACGUUAUAAUUUGAUCAAUUUGUUAUGAUGAAUUUAAAGUGUAACACGUGAUUUCUUUUUUUUUUUUUUUUUUUAUAACUCGAGAUGUCUGGGCUAGUUUAUGCGCAUCACGACUAAUCCCCGGACUCACCGAACAUCCUGCAAGCCCUGUAAGUAGGUAAGGUACCGCGGGGUGACAAGCGUGCACAAGCAAGACUUGAACCCUGGUAUAAAGGAAGAACACAAGGCCCUUCCACUGCUGGGCUACAAGCUCAAGCGUGUAACACAUGAUUUCUAAAUGGUGGUGUUGGUGUUGUGUUUGCCUAUUAAUGAUCAUGAUCAUGAUGUUUCAUGAUGUGACAAAUAUAUUAAAAAUAUGAUGAUUUUGUUUAUAGUUAAAGCCGUGAAAUAUUAUUUGUUUAAAAUUUAUUUUUUUUUAAUGUUUUUAAUUUUUAUUUAAUGUAUUGAUGUUAAAAAUAUUUUUUUAAAAAUUAAUAUAUAUAUAUAUAUAUUAAUAUAUUUUUAUAUAAAACAUAUUUUAAAACUUAACCUCUUUUAUAUUUUUAAACAUACCCUUAGUCAAUUGUCAUUUAGUAGUUGAAUCUUACCCUUAAUGUUUUCCAUGGAAUCUAUUAUUAUUGUCUUUGACAGCGUAUGUGCAAUGAUAAGGAAUAUCACGAUAGGUUGUCAAAAAAACUCUUACUAAUAUUAUGUUAUGUGUAAUUUUAUCUGAAAAUAAAAUAAAAAUUGAAUGAUGCCUAAUAAAAUAAUAUUAUAUAUAUAUAUAUAUAUUCUUAAUAAUUUAAUUAUCUACUAAAAUAACAUCCUUAUGUGUUUUUAAAUAAUUAAUUUUAAUGAAAUAAAAUUAAAACUUGAGGAUAAAAAUUCAAAAAAUAAAUAAAAUAAAAGCUAAACAUAAGCCAUGUUUGUGGGGUCAAGUGACUCAGCAUACUUAUCCAAAACAUGAAAGAGCCAUUUCAUUUUUUCUUUGAUGAAUGACACAUUGGACUUUUAUUAUUUUAUUUUUAAAAUAAAACAGAUUUGCUUACUCAAUUAUUUUUUGUUAUGGAGAAGUGGAAGAGUUAGGUUAGUGUUUUUUUUUUUUUAUCUAAAAUUCUAUUUUUUUAAUAUAUUUUUAUCUAAAAACACCUCAUAAAUACUUUUAAAUUAUCUCUAAACUAAUCCAUCAACUAAAAAGAAACUCUAAAAUAAUUUUAAAAUAUAAAGUUUAACUUAAAAGCAAUUCUCUCAACCUCUAUUUAUCUUUUUUUGGCAAUAUAAAGCUCAAAAACAUUAUGGUAACACUCUUUUUGUAAAGAAAAAUAUAUUGACACACAUAUGAGCUAUUUUCAUAAACAAAAACUUAUUAAUGUAUGUAUUUCUCUCUCCUUUACUAUUUUCAAUGAAUUUUUAUUAUUAUUUUAAAAAUUUCCAGAUUGAAAUGUUAUUAAAAUAGAGUUUUGGAUCAAAACAUAAAUAUUUUGAAAUAAAAUGGUGUGAAAUGAACAUUUCUCAAAUAAAAAAACUUUAAAUUCUUGCUAUAUGUCAAUUUUGACUCUCCAAGUCCUAAAUUUUUAUAUGCAAUAAAAUAGGAUUCUAUUUUGUAAAAUCAAACAUAAGUAUAAUGUAGAGACAUUUAAUUUUCCAAAAAAAAUAAAAAUAAGGAGCCUUAGCCUCGAAGUUCAUCGGACCUACGUCAUAAUGUCUUCGUCAUUACCCGACACCAGCCACGCCUUCAAGUCGUCGUUGACUGAUCAGAAUAAUAAUUUCCUAGGUCGGUCGUGCAGGUAAUUUAAAGGAGCCUUAGCCUGGAAGUUCCAUCACAUAGCAACUGGGAUUGGCAAUUGUUCUAGCCUUUUGAGUAGUUCAUCACAUAGCUAGCUAUGGCCACCGAAGACGUUUCUCUCGACCUUUCAACGCUUCUUUCUUCAGAAGAGAGGGACUUUCUCAUCCGCAACAAUGGUGAUCAGGUACUGCUUCUCUGAUCUUAUUCAAGUCUUCUUCUUGUCUUAUUAUAAGUUGAUGCCUUUUAAUUUUUAUAUGAACUUGUAGGUUUUUCUCGUAAUUAAGACGAAUAUCAUGUUUAAAUUAGACUGCAAGCCUUGCUGAAGAACAAAUUUAUGACCAAUUUCUGAAGCUUUUUAAUGAUUAAGAAAAAGCUCCUUUUUUUGUGUUGCUUUUCUCACUGGCAAGAGAAAGAAACCAUGAAUAAAAUUGUGAUUCGUUAAGGGCUGAUUUUUUUCUGAUAAUGUUCGACAUUAAUUUUUAGGUUAAGGUCACAAUUUGGUUGGGAAGAUUGUGGGUUCUACUUCUCUGGUUCGUGGGCGCCCAUGCCGUAAUUUCACUCCUUUGUUGGUAGAAGUCUAUGAACAGCUAUAUCCAAAGGGACUUUGAGGUCUUCAUUUCUUCUGACAGAGAUGAUGAAUCCUUCAACACAUAUUUCUCCGAAAUGCCUGGCUUGCUAUUCCCUUCUCUGAUACGGAGGCCCGCAAACGUCUUAAGGAAGUGUUCAAAGUAGAGGGAUCCCUAUCUUGUCAUUUUUGAUUGCGAAUGGCAAGGUUCCUGCGAUGAUGGAUCAGCACUGUCAAGGAACAUGGCGUGGAUGGGUAUCCGUUCAACCUUGAUAGACUGAAUUUCCUGAAAGAGCAAGAAGAGAACGCUAAGAAGAAUCAAACAUAAGCUCUAUCUUGGUUUCAAGCUCACGUGAUUAUGUGAUUUCAAAUGAUGGAAAAAAGGUUAGAUGGUUCAUUCAAUUAGCUAGUUUUGAAAUUGAAUUGAUGAUGCCAUCAUUCACUUUUUGCCUUUUUGGCUAUCUGUAAUGGCAGAUCCCUGUGUUGGACCUUGAAGGAAAAUUGGUUGGCUUGUAUUUCUCAAUCCAUGCUCAUAGGAUGUGCCGUGAAUUCACUCCUAAACUAGUGAAUUACAAGCGCUCAAGGAAAAAGAGAGAACUUUGAAGUAGUCCUAAUAUCUCUAGACGAGGAAAAACACUUCAAAGAGAGUUUUGAGACAAUGCCUUGGUUGGCAUUGCCGUUUAAGGACAAGAGCUGCGAGAAGCUAGCGCGGUAUUUUGAACUUAGAACCAUUCCUAAUCUUGUCAUAAUUGGCCAAGAUGGGAAGACUUUGAACCCAAAUGUAGUUGAACUCAUCGAAGACCAUGGAAUUGAAGCCUACCCAUUUACACCGGAAAAGCUUGAGAGCUAGCUGCAAUUGAAAAGGCAAAACUGGAAUCGCAGACGCUUGAGUCAGUUUUGGUUAAUGGGGAAAAUGAUUUUGUGAUUGACAAAAGUGGAUCCAAGGUAAUUUUUUUGUUCUUGCUAACUCGCAUGUUGUUAUUCAUUACUUUCAAUAACUUGCUUAUUAUCUCGAAUUGAAUUCAUUAGCAAAGGUAUUUUUAUCAUUCAAAUGGUUUGCUCUUGAUUAGGUCCCAGUGUCUGAUCUAGUUGGAAAGAACAUUCUUCUUUACUUCUCAGCUCAAUGGUGCCCUCCAUGUCGUGCCUUUUUACCCAAGCUAAUUGAAGCAUACCACACAAUUAAAGAAAAGCAAUGCAUUUGAGGUGAUCUUCAUCUCAAGUGACAGCGAUCAAUCCACCUUUGACGAGUUCUAUUCAGAAAUGCCUUGGUUAGCCCUUCCAUUUGGUGAUGAAGGAAACAAAUCCUGAGUCGGAAAUUCAAAAUUCAAGGCAUUCCUGCAGCUGUAGCGAUUGGCCAAGUGGCCGGACCAUUACCAAGGAAGCUCGGAUGCACCUGACAGCUUACGGGGCAGAUGCUUUUCCAUUUACCGAGGAACAUCUAAAGCAAUUGGAGGAGGAGAUUGAGGAAAAGGCAAAGGGGUGGCCAGAGAAAGUGAAACACGAACUUCAUACUGAGCAUGAGCUGAUACGUACUAAACGCA